rnacentral:rRNA from 1 species
GACGAACGCUGGCGGCGUGCUUAACACAUGCAAGUCGAACAGAAAGGCCCUGCUUGCAGGGUACUCGAGUGGCGAACGGGUGAGUAACACGUGGGUGAUCUGCCCUGCACUUCGGGAUAAGCCUGGGAAACUGGGUCUAAUACCGGAUAGGAGCCAUUUUUAGUGUGAUGGUUGGAAAGUUUUUUCGGUGUAGGAUGAGCUCGCGGCCUAUCAGCUUGUUGGUGGGGUAAUGGCCUACCAAGGCGGCGACGGGUAGCCGGCCUGAGAGGGUGGACGGCCACAUUGGGACUGAGAUACGGCCCAGACUCCUACGGGAGGCAGCGGUGGGGAAUAUUGCACAAUGGGCGCAAGCCUGAUGCAGCGACGCCGCGUGGGGGAUGACGGCCUUCGGGUUGUAAACUCCUUUCGCUAGGGACGAAGCUUUUUGUGACGGUACCUAGAUAAGAAGCACCGGCUAACUACGUG